rnacentral:rRNA from 1 species
GACGAACGCUGGCGGCGUGCUUAACACAUGCAAGUCGAACGAUGAAGCUGGAGCUUGCUCUAGCGGAUUAGUGGCGAACGGGUGAGUAACACGUGAGCAAUCUGCCCUUGACUCUGGGAUAACUGCGGGAAACUGUAGCUAAUACCGGAUACUUUCACCGGGGGGCAUCCUCUGGUGCUGAAAGAAUUUCGGUCAAGGAUGAGCUCGCGGCCUAUCAGCUUGUUGGUGAGGUAACGGCUCACCAAGGCGACGACGGGUAACCGGCCUGAGAGGGUGACCGGUCACACUGGGACUGAGACACGGCCCAGACUCCUACGGGAGGCAGCAGUGGGGAAUAUUGCACAAUGGGCGCAAGCCUGAUGCAGCAACGCCGCGUGAGGGAUGAAGGCCUUCGGGUUGUAAACCUCUUUUAGCAGGGAAGAAGCGAAAGUGACGGUACCUGCAGAAAAAGCACCGGCUAACUACGUGCCAGCCGCCGCAGUAA